rnacentral:rRNA from 1 species
UGAGACCUCGGGGCGCAGCAGUGGGGGAUAUUGCACAAUGGGGGAAACCCUGAUGCAGCGACGCCGCGUGGGUGAAGAAGCGCCUCGGCGCGUAAAGCCCUGUCAGCAGGGAAGAAAAUGACGGUACCUGAAGAAGAAGCCCCGGCUAACUACGUGCCAGCAGCCGCGGUAAUACGUAGGGGGCAAGCGUUAUCCGGAUUUACUGGGUGUAAAGGGGGCGCAGACGGCGAUGCAAGCCAGGAGUGAAAGCCCGGGGCCCAACCCCGGGACUGCUCUUGGAACUGCGUGGCUAGAGUGCAGGAGGG